AGCAACUGUGGGUAAGUACUUUCUCAGCUCUAUUUCUCUCCAUAGGAAACUGUAUGUCUUAAACUAUUCUUGAUACUGAACUGAUAAAGUAUGGAUUUUAUCAUUUGAUUUCUCUAGGUAGAGCUUAUUGAUGUCGAGGACUGUUUCAGACAUAUAAGGUCUGACACACAGUACUGUUGAUGAACGUUUAUUGAGUCACUACUGUGAAGUGAUUGUCCCCAGGAGAAAGUAAGGUCCAGUCACGUAGUGACUGACUUGCUUUCCUUUCUUAUUGCCAGAGCUGUUUUUAUGGAAAGAUAAGGCAGUAGCUAGGGACUGCAGGAGAGAACAUAAUGAGAGUUUAGUAGCUCUCUUUCUAAUACAGGAAAUGGAAGGGAAGGGAAGAGAAAGAAUACAUACUACAUGGCCUCCUCAUUAGCUGUGUAGUAUGGAGACAUAAAGCAGUCAGCUCAGAGCUAUCCUUACUGUAAUGAGGGAUGCAGUUUGAAAUUCUCACCGUUGGAGCAAACAUUUUAAGCACUGGGGACCCUCUCUCUGCUCAACGUUGAAACUGGUAUCUUAGAUUUAAGAAACUUUGUCCCCAGGUUGUUGCAAGUUUGAGGAAUAAUGAAAAGUUGGGCAGCAGGAUUUGGAAUGUAUGUUAGGGCUCUGACAGUGUUAACAGCCUUGUUAGCAAUGCUGAGCCGUUUCCCAUCUUUCAUACUGUGUGAUGCUGGGUGUCCAUUCAGCCGAACCAAAAGCUGAACUUGACAUCCAACAGUCUGAUGUGCACUUGUCCUUGAAACACACCUUUACAGUUACAGUCUUCUGGGAAUGAGCCAGUGCUGUCCUAACCAUGAGCUCCUGUUCUCGUUGGCACUAAACUUUGUGAUGUUUAUGUAAAAUGUGUGACUUUGGCAAGAUUUGGGGGAAAGGGAGUCUUUCAAAAUUCCCUGUUUUGGAAAGUGAAAUAAGUGCUUUAUAGAAAUGGCAGAUACAUGCAGUUACUCUGGUAACAGAUUCAGUUUCCUGUCCGUGUCCAGGUGGUUCCAACUUCUAAUUCAGUACUUGAGUUUUUAGUGCCAGCAUCAGUACCAGACAGGAAGAUUCCCAGUGUUGGCUUGUUAUGUAGAGAGUGACCCAGCUGGCUUGUUGUGCUGGACUUGAUGAAUUGUGAAUUUUAAUUACACUGAUCAAUACAGUGGCCUUGGUAACGGCCUUGUAGCUGCUGUAGAAUCUGUUUGCUUCAGGGUUAUAACAGAAAGAGACUAAGUUGAUCGGGGACAUCAUGUUCUCACUGUAAUAAGCUGUAGGCUAAGUCCAAGAAAAAACAAAUCCUGGAGGGGCUGACCUCACUACACCCCUUCUCCAGUAUUUCCCAGGAGGAAGCAUUACUCUGGAGGUGGUUUCUGUUCUUAUUUGCCAGCUGGGAGUAAAUCAAGGUUGACAAAGACUUGGUUCUUAGUGUAAGUGGGGUAAAGGACUCUUCCAGGUUCUAAAGGGCACAUAGAAAACACUUGUACUGAGAAGGCCCCUGUCUGCUGGUCUGUAAUUGGGAAUAGGUGAUUGAUGAAACUAACCUUAGCCCUCUCAUUCAGGAAUUAGAGCUUUCCUAUUUGGGGAAUAUGAGAUUCAUAAUUAUGCACAUUCUUUUCUGAUUCCAUAGGGAGGGGAUUAGCUGAAAGCUGGGCAUGAUUGGAAUGAGAGCAUAUUGCCAGUUUUUGCUAAAUUUGAACUAAACCAUGUUUAAAAAUAAAUAAACAAAAACCAUUCUGUCUUGUUUAGAUAGACUCUCAUGUUCUCCUAACCCUUUAUGGAUCCAUCACAUGCAUGCCUGUACUAACAAGUAUAGUUGGUAUUAAAAGUAGCUUCUCCACUUCCUUUCCCUUGUUUUAAUUCGGAGCAAAGCUUAUUAAACCCAUUUAUUUCCUGCAUUUUUUUGAGGUGCUUUGUCAAAAGCAUGGCAAACUCAGUGUAAUUGUUUGCUUUUUCAGGUCCUCCUUAGAUUGCUUGUUAAAUCAGUACCUUUCGUGAGGUUGGAGUGUGAAAGAUAUUUGUCACAAAGGGAGUUUUUUCAGACUAUUUAUUAUUAGGGCUCUAAAUUAGACAUACUUAAUUCACAGUAGGAGAGGACCUGAAGGUAGGGCAGCUAGUGGAGAAUGGGUUGGCAUUUUGAAUGACCAAGGCGCUGGAAAUUAUUUUGAAAUUAGAUAUGGGGUAGGAGUGCAGAGAGAGAGAGAAAGAAAGAGAGAGAGAGAGAGAGAGAGAGAGAGAGAGAGAGAGAACACACAGUAAAUAAAACAAUGUAAAUCAAAGGAAUUAACCUGAAGCCUGUCAUUGGACCUAAGCUAAUGAUUGCUUAUCUAGAAUUAAGGAUAUGUUAGGGCCAUAGAAAGCCCUGAGCUAUAUUCUUUGGACUUUAUCUCCUAAACAGUCUUUAUCAAAAUAGGAAGGCCAUUUAUGUAAGAGUACUGGAGGGUAUCUAUAGAACAAAUGGGGAACACCAGGCCUCUCUAAGCCAGUUUCAUUUCUUGAGUCUAAAUUCUUUUUGAAAUGCUAAGUAUAAUUCUAACACAUUAUACAUACCCUUACCUCUAGUUUCUGGAUGGUCAAGUCAGAAUAUGAGAGCUUAAACUUGUUAGUUUAUAUUAUAAACUCUUAGACUGAAAAUAAUAGUAUUUUAAAGACUUUGAGAAACAUUUUGGUAAAAUUCUGACCUCAGAAGAAAAGCACAGUUUAGUAUAGUUAAUUAUUGAAGAGUUACAAUUCAACUAAAGAAUAGAUCAGAAACACAUGCUAGGGAGGAAAAGACAGAACUUAGAAAGUUGAUGAAGCCGAUGAGCCAUGUUACCAGCUAAAGCCAGUGUUAAUGUGGCUCUGGUGUUUGAUGUGAAAGAAUGGCCAGGCCUCCCUCAGGAUGAGUGCUGCAGGAGCAAGGCUGAAACUCCUUCGGGGUACUGAAAAAGAACUCAGUAAGUGGAUGGUUCAGUUGAGGCUGGAUUCUAAGCUGACCUUAGGAUCACCACAGCCCAAAUGUUCCUUUACUUGAAGGAAGUUCUUAGAGAAUUAUUAUUUAAGGUUUUGAGAACUUUCCAUGCCCAUACUGAAAGACUGCCAAAUAAGGAGUAUUAUAAGAAUGUUCCAAGCUAACUUUGUAUAGAGACUCAUGUCCCAUUAACAGAACCUCAUCUCUCCCCAGAAAAGUCAGGAGACUCUACCUGGUUCCAGUUCUAACUGCUUUCUUGUGGGAAAACAGGAAGCCUGCUGUUAGCAUAAGGAUAUUUCAUGGUUUGCUUAGUGAUACAUUAAAACUGAGAGGAUAUGAUCAUGUACCAGUUAUCUUUACUUACUGGCUGGAGUGGUGGCUCAGCAGUUAUAAGCAUUCAUUCCCUGCUUUUUCAGAGGACUGGAGUCUCAUUCCUAUCGCCUAAGUCAGGCAGCUUACAAUGCCAGUAACUCCAGCUCCAAGGGAUCCAAGGCCAACAUCUGUUCAUACACUGAAAAAUAAAAAUAAGCAUAAAUAUUUUUAAAUGACCAAAGAACUUUAAACCUCACUUCCUGGGGCUUUUAAAAUCUAUUUUACAGUUUUAUUCAACCUGUAACCUAAUACUCCAGUUUUUAUUUUUCUUCAUUAAUUUUUUUCAGCUUUUUAAAGAUAUAAUGGGAAAAAAUUAAAUGUACUUAAAGGGUACAAUGUUAUACUGUGUUAUUUGUACACAGUCAAGAAAUGACUAUGAUCAAGCCAGUUAACAUAACCAUUUCCUCAGUUCUCUUUUGUGAGAAGUUCAGCACAGUGCUAGCCAUUUUGUUGCUGAAAGCAGCUCCCCAGAAAGUACUCCCCAAAAGGUUCAGUUUUCAACCUGUGGGUCCAACAACCCUUUUAUAGGGGUCGCCCAAGACCUUCCUGCAUAUCAGAUAUUUACAUUAAGAUUCAUAAUAGUAGCAAAAUUACAGUUAUGACGUAGCAAUGAAAAUAAUUUUAUGAUUGGGUCACCACAGCAUGAGGAAAUUUAUUAAAGUAUCUUGAGUGGACUGGCCCUUGAAACAGUAGGGGACUGCUUUCCCCACCUAGUUCCAAAAGGAGAAAUGCUACUAAGCUUGUGGCUUGUUUGGGAUUUUUGUUUAGUUUUUGUUCUUUUACACUUCAGUGUCAAAGUUGCCUUAAGCAAAUCACGUAACCCCAGCUGCUACCCCAUCCUGUUUCUGUAUGCAGCCCUUAGAUAAUGCUAGUUUUUGAAAAUAACAAAUUGUUUUGUAAACCAUAAGCUAUUAAUUUGAGACAGACAAUAUAAGUAUAAAAGUCAAGGAAAUCUGGGUAUUUAGAAUCUUAUUGCUUAUUAAAUUUUAUUUCUUUGUAUGUAUGCGGGUAGGUGUGCAUGUAGAAGUCUACCAUAUUUGUCCCAGGAUUGAAUUUUGCUCUGUCAGACUUGGUAGCAUUCACCAUUUUCCACUGAGCCAUUUCACCAGCCUGAUAUUAAUGAUUUUAUUGUUUAAUAUGCUAGUACAUGUUGCUUUUAAACUUCUUUCCUCAUCAACUUUAAAUAAAAAUUCUAAUGUAGUAGUCCCUAUGUUGUGAGGAUUGUUCUUUGUGUAUCAGGAGUUUUUUAAAAAUUGAAAAUUGUUUAAAUUACAAAUAUCAUGGUAGUAUUACAUGUUGAGAAAAUAGCUCUUGCAAAACAAAAUUUAAUGUUUAUUUUGGUAUGCUGUGCAAUAUUAGCAAGAGAACUUGAUCUUUGUGCUCCUGCACACACCACUGGCUAGAAAACAAUAGAAGGCAGGGCUCAGGAAAACCCAAACUUGCAUAUGCUGGUCCCCACUGUAGAUGGGUGGCAUAUUACACUCCUGGAAUGAUAGGUAACUUUUGUUUUAAAACAACUCCAGAGAAGCCACAACUGACAGUCCUUCCCGGCUUUCUUGCUUCUUACAAGCCACAUAAAAUAGUAGUUUCAUAAUAAGUUUUUUAUGUAAGCUUGAAGUAUGAAAACUAAAAUCAGCUGAAGCUGAUCAGUAGGGGUUUUACUUUCUCUUUUCAAGUUGAAACCAUGUAACCCAGCUAUAGGAUACAUUGUGAAAGGUCCCAUUGGCUCCUUUAGAAAUAAUUGUGGUUGCUACAUAGUUACUAGUUAACAUGGGCUCCUGGAAGUCAGGUUUAUUUUGUUAUGUUUUGACAGCUUGAGCCUAUACGCUUAUGGGAAGCAGCUAAUGGACAACAACUUAAAAAAAAGUGAUAUAGGUCCUGUCUGGUUAGCUCAGGGCUCAAAACACCAGUUCUCAUUGACUUUAUAGCCACACAUUGGUAGCUGCUUAUAGUUCCACCACUUAAACACUAGUUGGUAGACUAUUUCUUCAUCUCCAGUUAGACAUAGUCUAGCCUUCCCAAAUGCUGAGCUGACUCACAGCGUGAUUCACUUACUAGACAUAUGCAUGAAUUUAAAAUGUAAUUGAUUUUUAAAUCUCACAUAAGCUGUACUUCAGACCAAAGAAGAAAAAUUUGAUUUUAAAUAUCAUCUUCCUGUUGUUAGGUUACCCAGUGGUGCCAGAGAACCAAGUGGGCAUCUUUUUAGAUCUAUCCACUGUUUGUGUUUGCUUCCUUGUUAAAUUAUUUUCCCGUAGUCAUGUGUGUGAAGUGUACAAAUAGGCCUGUUUGUAAGCAAUUGACAAGGCUCCCUCUUUAAAAAAAGAGCAUCUCCACCUAGGUUGCAGUAGGACAUGCCAAUUUAACAUAAAGGUGCCAUUUAGCAUGUCAUUGGCAUAGAGAGAAAGGUGAAUACAGUAAGCUAGCUUGGUCUUUCUCAGGCUAGCCUGGAAUUUAUGAUCCUCCUGCCUUGGCUAGGAUCACAGGUUUGUGCUGCCAUAACUGUCUUCUGACCUGAUUUUUAAUACAUGCUCUAUGAGUCUAAACAAAGUGACUUCCAAAGAGGGACAGAAUGUGCAGAAGAUUUUAGCAUGAUACCUUUUGAGGAAGUAAGAGAAGGAAAAUGAGAAUGUAACAUGUAUUUGCUGGAAGAAAGCCAACACGAAAACAUAUGGAAGCCAAUGAAAAUUGGCUGAAGGGAAGUGAGCCUCUGGAUACAAGUGUAAAGCUUUAGUCAUGUCUGUUUUAUAUGUCAAGGUAAGAUUUAAUAGGCGAGGGAAAACAUGAAAUGUUAAAAAUCUUUGGAAACACAAAUGAGCUCAACUAGCACAGGAAAUCUAAGCUAAUGUAUCACAUUGGUUGUGCAGGCUUCCAGGAAACACUACUUGGACUGUAUAUCCUUCCUGAAAUGUGUAAGGACAGUAAGGACUUGAAAGAAAUCUCCUUACCUUUGCAUUUACGUUUGUAUACACGGUGGCACAGAAUGUGGAGGUCACAGGACAGACAUGGGUGUCAGGCCUUGCCUUCCUCCUUGCUUGAGACAGUGUUAUUCACUGCUUCAUGUGCCUGUGAGACUUUUCUGCCCCCCACCCCCAACUCACAUAAAAGCAAAAGGACAAAAACAAACAGUAUCAACAAAAGCCAGCUUUCUAAUGUGGUUCUCUGAUACCUGUUGUGCCCUCUGGCAUACGCAUGUUCCGCCUGCAUAUGUACAUCAUUCACAAUAGUAAAAUAAAAUGUUUUUAAAUAUGCACGUUUACCAUUCUUUUGGGUUUUUUGAGACAGAGUCUCACUAUAUAGGUCUGGCUCUUCUGGAACUCAUUAUGUAGACCAAGCUUGUUCCCAAACCCACAGAGAGUCAUCUGCCUCCCAAGUGCUGGGAUUAAAGACAUGCACCUCUACCCAGCUUAUUAGUCUUAAAUGUUAUAAUGCUAUUGAGAUUUGGUAGGAGAGUAUCUUAAUUCUUAAUUCUCAGAUGAAUUCCAAAGAAUUUAUUAGAAUUUCUAUAUUUGUACCUUAUUAUUUGCCUCUAUUAUAUGAAAGUAUGCAUCCACAUAUAUAUGUGAGUGUAUGUAUAUACCACAUGAAAAUUCAAAGGUUCAUUCUAAAUCAAAAGUAUAUACAUAUUUAUUAUACUGUUCUUUUGAAGUUUUCUUUUGUGUUAAGAAUGAUAAGUCUGGGGCUGGGGAGAUGGCUCAAUGGGUAAGAGCUCUGACUGCUCUUCUGAAGGUCCCGAGUUCAAAUCCCAGCAACCACAUGGUGGCUCACAACCACCCGUAAUGAGAUCUGAUGCCCUCUUCUGGUAUAUCUGAAGACAACUACAGUGUACUUAUAAUAAAUCUUAAAAAAAAAAAAAAAGAAUGAUAAGUCUGAGCCGGGUGUGGUGGCGCACGCCUUUAAUCCCAGCACUUGGGAGGCAGAGGCAGGCGAAUUUCUGAGUUCAAAGCCGGCUGGACUACAGAGUGAGUUCCAGGACAGCCAGGGCUAUACAGAGAAACUGUCUUGAAAAAAACAAAACAACAACAAAAAGAAUGUUGAGUCUAAGGAAAUGAAAGCUCCAGCAGCCGUGCUGGGAGAGAAGGGUGGCAAGUCCUUCCUAACACCUUACUAAAGUAAUGCAGAUGCUUUGUGGAACCAGAGUCGACAGUUACUAGUGCUGAGAUGCCAGGAGAUGCAUGUUAGGAGGGGUAGGCUAGCAUGAUCUGAGGGGAAGGCAGUUAGGCUAAGUAGAAAGUGUAAAGUUGGUCUGACUGUGCUUUGCAGUAUGUUGCCAAUUGUGGUUUUUAGAAGAUUAGUGAGGCCACCUCUGUGCUGCUUCAACACCUUCAAAAAAACAGAAUAAAAAAAGCCAUUUGCUAUUUUUACCUUUGGUUGGCAACUGCUUGGUUGAGACUGUAGAAGCCAGUGAAGAGUUGUCUCUUGAAGAAAAGGGGUAGUGGCUGAUGGUAAUACCACUUGUGCUUUGGGAAGUUUUCAAGUAUUGUCUUUCAUAGUUUCAGUGACUCAGUAUAUGGGCCUGAUUGCACCUCAUUCUUUCUCACACUAACCUGCCUUGACACUGUAUCACAUUGAUUCUCAUUUUGAAAGGCAUAAUUUGUCUGACUGUGGAAUUGGAUUCUAGUAGUGUGUUAUUGGUGACAUCCAAAAGGGUAGAGUGGAGGAAAGAUAUGUGUGUUGUGAUUAGUCAGCCUGCCCACCCACUCCCUCCUGGAAACUCAGGCCCCAUCUGGGGAGACUAGAACUUAAGAAACUUGAGACAGAGGGAAGAUGGAAUAGCCAAAACCUGCUGGGUUUUAGAAAAUGUUUCUGUACCAGGAAAUGAAAGAGGCUGAAGGGCCUACUUUGGCUCUGUAGCUCAAAAAUGAUCCUUUUUCAAUUCGUCUUCUCUGAUGUAUGUGUUUGAGGGCAAGUUAUUGGAAAGAAAAGACCCUCCCUUUUUUAUUUAUCUAUUUAUUUUAUGUAUUUGAGUGUUAUGUUUUCAUGAACACCACAAAACAGAAUCAGAUUCCAUUAUAGAUGGUUGUGAGUCACCAUAUGGGUGCUAGGAAUUGAACUCAGGAAUUGAGCCAUCUCUCCAUUCCUCCUUUAGGAAACUAUUUUUAUCUAACUGAAGUAAAAGAUAGUAGACUUCGGUUUUUCUUGUUUGACAGUAUUGCUAUUUAUUGUUGUUAUUUUGGAGGGGAGGGGAUACAUUUAAAAUAGGAAUCAGACUGAUCUCUGCUAAGACGGAAAAAAAAGAUGCUAUAUUGGGGAGGGUAGCUGACUGUUUGACCUCUUUUCUAUCCUCUGAAAGGUAGUGGCUGGAAGUAGUCUUAAAAGGAAUAAUUAGCUGGAAGAUGUAUGGAGAAGGGAUUUUUAAAAGAUGUAGGAACCUUAGACAGUGUUUUAAUAUACAUCUUAGUAAUUGUCCUUGUUAAAUUUUCUAGUUUCUGAUAGUCUUUUUUGGCUCAAUGCUGGUACCUAAGAAAUAUGCUACCCAUAAUUUCUUAAACAGCAGAAUUCUGAGCACAAUAUGCACAGAAGGCAAUGGGACAGAAUAUGUAUAUUUUUAAAUGCCUCAGAAAACCAAAAGAGGGGUACUGGGCCCUCAGUUAAUCUCAGAGGUUAGAAAGACGGGUCUUCCCAUGCACACCUAAGGUUUGCUUUCUUAAUGAUUUGUUUUCCUAGUGCUUGCUGUUUACCUUUGUGUCUAGUUCUUCACCCUUAGGAGAAAACCUUCCUGAGGAAAUUAAAAGCUGUUAGAUAGGUAUGUGAAAUAACAAAGUUAAUAAGAUGCCUGGCCUAACCUCUAAUUUUUGGAGGACCCACAUUAAACGAUAUGGCAUAGACGCAAGACAUCGUGUCUACUAAACUAUUUGAAAAGCUGCUUUAAAAUAGCAUCUUAAACUGGCCUGAAAUUUAAUUGGGUUUUAAAGAUACAACAAAUAGACUUCAGUGUUUGUGUGUGUUAUGGUAGCCAGCGUGUUCCUAGAGGAAUGGUGAAAGUUCACAGCAAAGCCAUCUGUUACUAUUACAUGGAGAGUUGAAGUACAUACACAGAUUUUGAGAGAGCUUUAGUUCUUGCAUCGAUCUUUCAUAGGAUGAAGUACUUAGUGCUAAGUGAAUAUGUUGACUAAAAGAAUAUAAUGCACGUUGUAUAUUGUCCUGAUCAUUGUCACUUAUCCAUAGGAUCAUAGUAGUGUUCUAGUAGGUUUUCAUUUUAAUUUCCUCUAAUUGGAUAGAGAGAAGGUAAAUUUGAAUUAGGUAUGGGAAGAGGGGAGGGCAGCUGAGCUAUAGUGUGUGUAGAUCAUAUAUUUUCAGAAGUAAACUCAACUUUGGGUAGUAAAAAGUAUUAAGAUCAAUUAAACAAAUAAUUACAGUUAUUUUUCUUUUGAAGUUUAUAACGUUUUUGGGUUGCCUGUGUUCCCUUUGUCUUGGUAAGUACUGUACCAUCUUGUAGAUCACUCUGUCACUAUACCAACCAUAAUGAACCCAAAUUAUUAGGUCAAGCUUUUCCUAAUGGGCCUCAGUGUUACAGAGAACUCAGUCCAACCAUCAUAAGUUGUGCUUUAAAAUAGCACACUAUACUGAUAUGUACUAUACUGGCCUUCAAAUGCAGCAAGUAGACAUUGUUUGGAUGUGCUCGAUGGAAAAUGGUCGAUGUACCCUAUCCUUCCUCAGAUAUGCUGUUAAUCUGAGAGUGGAGCCGAGUUGUACUUGGGGUACUUUGUCUAUGUUUCCUUCUUUCUUCCUUGUACUUACUACCUUAUGCUAAAGCACCCCAGUGAAAACCUAACAGUUGGAGGAAAUCAUAACAAUAAGAAGUAAUACAAACCAUGCUUUUGCAAUUGUCUUUGGGUUUUCUUUUAUCCAAAUGACCAUAUUUUUCCACUUAACUACUGAGUUUAACCCAAACAGAAAGCUGCUAUUAGAUCUGGUUUCACUAGAAACCAGAAGUUGGUUUUGGCAGCAGUAUCCUUAUUUACAGCAUAAAGGUGAACAGCAUGCGAAGAUUCUUUCCACCAAGGGAGGAACAGCUGCUAGCUGGAAAGAACCUGUAGAGUUAGACCCCUGGGGGAAACGGGCAGAGCCAUGGCAUUCAGAAGCAGCUGCUGUGAGACGAGACUCUGCAGCUUGUAGUUCAGGGUAGCAGAGAAGACAAGGAUAUCAUGCAUCUGUGUGCUGCUGGACCACCUUACAGACAGCUAUCCACUAUGCCAGUACUUGAGUUAACACUGCCUACUUCAAAUGUGGACAAGAUCUAUUAUUUGAGAGAUGGGGUGUUAGGAGCACUGCACAUAGUAGUAAGCUACUUGCCAUAGUCUACUAUUUUUAGAUGGGAAAGAUUUUGCUAAGCUUUAGACCGCUGAUAAGCUUUAUUAAUACAAGGAGAGAUUAUGUCUAUUAAUCUCCGGUUGCUGAAGAAAUAUUUCUAACUUGCUACAACUGCUUCUCUAUGUUUUUUAUCUAAAAAUCUGCAAGUGUUACUGAAGUGCCUUCCCCCACCUCACUGCAACGUAGGUGGUAUCUGGAAUCAUGCCCAGAACCUUUUGAAAAAAAAAGUAGAAGAAGAAGGGGAGGAGGAGGAGAGGGAAUCUAACAGCCAGGAGAAGGGAGCACUUCCGAACAGGCUGCCCAUGCCAGCAGCAGGGAACCCUGUGGAGGAAGUGCUGCCUCUGGAGCUGUUACAGCCACUAAGGAACUCUUGACUAUAUUUUUUUCACUGCCAAAGUAACUGCAUAUUAGAUGUUUAUUAAAUACCUUCCUGCAUGUGUGAGGCCCUGACCUGCUCUGGGGGUAUGUAGUUCUUCUUUAUGUCUUCAGUGUCUGUUUUCAGACUUAAUAAAACAGGCUCUCCCUUUCUGUGUCAGAGUUGCCUGAAGAAGAACUUCCACAGUUAGAUGGUGAACCGAGAUGAGUUGUAAACACGCAGGUUUCUGUCUCUGAUCUAUUUGAUUCUGUCCUCUGCGUUUGUGCUUAGUGGGAACCAUGCUGAAUAGGAAGUUCAGGACAAGCCAGUGUCCCCUUGUUUGCUACUUUAUGACUGUAGAGUCCUACCAGUUCUGUUUUUCAUUUGUUCAUUCUAACUGCCGAUUGAUUCCAGAGCUACAAACCAAAGCUUGGUUCUUAGGCUGCAGUGUCACCCCAGCAGAGACUGUAUGUGUUGGGAGAGGAGGAUUGUACAGCUGUAGCUAAUGUAGAGUCUACUUUUUAAAAUGUGUCAUUUUGUGUAUAUGGAUGAUUUGCCUGUCUGCAUGUUUGUGCACAGCAUGAGUUCAAUACCUUAAGAGAAGGGAGUCGGGUCAUCUUAGGCUCAAGUUAUAGACAGUUGUGAGCUGCCAUAUUGGGGCUGGGGAUAGAACUCAGGUCCUCUGGGAAAGCAUCCAGUGCUUUUAACCACUGAACUAUUACCCCAGUUUCUGGUUUCCUCUUUUCUAGCUUGAAAGUGUUGAUGACUGGGUCAUUUGUAUUAUGCAGAAAAACUUUUCACCUAUGAUAGUAUACAGUUUCAUUGAUACUAUUUGCUAACAACAUAAUUUAAUAGUUUCUCCAUAGGAACCUUUUCAGAGCUCUGAGUCUGAAUCCAGGUUCUCAAUUUAUACUCUUUUUCAGGAAUGUGGGUUUUAUUUCAAAUUUUGUAGAAAGAGGUCAUCAGAAUUCAUGUGAGAGUUCAGUGAUUCUCAACCUGUGCAUUGAGACCCAUUUGCCAAACUUCUGUCUCCAAAAUUACUUACAUAACGGUAUAAUUUUAUAAUUUUAUGCUUGGGGGUCACCACAAAUGAGGAACUAUAUUAUAGGGUCUAAACAGUAGGAAGGCUCAGAACCACUGGUUUAAGCCAUAUAAUUCCAUAUUUUUACAUAUUACUUUGUUUAUAAAUAAUACUGAUUACAAACUAUUUUCAAUUUAUUAAAGCCAGUGGUCCAAAUAUUCUACCAUGUAGAUAUGGUGACACAUACAUAUAGCCCUAACACUCAAGUUCUAAUGGGCUGAUACAGGAGAAUUGUGAGUUCUGAGCUAGCCUAGGUCUUUUUUUUUUUUUUUUAAGAUUUAUUUAUUUAUUAUAUGUAAGUACACUGUAGCUGUCCUCAGAUACUCCAGAAGAGGGCAUCAGAUUUCGUUACGGAUGGUUGUGAGCCACCAUGUGGUUGCUGGGAUUUGAACUCCGGACUUUCAGAAGAGCAGUCAGUGCUCUUAACCACUGAGCCAUCUCACCAGCCCCUAGCCUAAGUCUUUUAAAAGAUCUUGUCAUUAAAAAAAUAUAUAUUCUGCAAAUAUAAAACUGCAAAUAACUAGUUCUACCUAAAAAAUAAUUUAUUCUACCUACAAAGACCUUUAAAACUUGUCAAAUUUUCUUCUUUUAGAUUCAUCCUGAUUAGUUAGGAUGUAAUUAAUGGAGAAUUUGGUGUUCGUUUUAAAACUUCUCUUUCAUCCGUACACUCUGAUUUUUAAAUUUUUUACUGGUGCUACAGAACUCUAGGGAUACUACAUUGGUUUUAUGAAUUAGAGACGACAUAGCUGGCUGUAAUGUGUUUAGCGAUUACUAGACAUACCAUUCAAAAGCAAAGCCAUGGCCAGAUUCAGAGGAAGAAUAUGCUACAGGAGAACCAGAUGUGAGAUUAUAUCUGCUUUCUGAUAGAAUUGGGUGAAAGGAUAAAGAGUUUAGUGUUAGUGUGUAAAAGUUAGAUAAAAGGGAAGGGAGAAACUUAAUGAGAUGAAGAAAAUUUAGUAAAAUUGGAUAGUUACUAAAAUAAAUGGCUUUUCAGAAUUGUCUUCUACCUCCUUCUCUCCCCCCCACCCCCAGCCUAGAUCUUCCUAAAAUAACUGGAAAGAGACAGUAGGGUUGGUUUUUUUUUUUUUUAAAGAUUUAUUUUAUUUAUAUGAGUACACUGUCUCUGUCUUCAGACAUACCAGAA